UCAAAAAAGAGAGACUUUAACUCCCACCACUGGCUCCCAAUACCAGUAUUCUAUUAAACUAUUUUCUG
rnacentral:tRNA from 1 species